GGGGGAAAAUGUAUGGUAUUCAACUAAUAGAUAUGAAAGUAAGAAAAAAUCGGUAUUAAAGUAAUUUCGAAUCAUAAUGAAUAAAGUUUUUUUCUUCAAAUAAAAAUUGUGUUACUACUUCCUUACCAUCAGUACAAAUGUACAAAUUCACAGUUGCCAAAACAGAAAGCUAUUAAAUUCUCACAGAUCUGUAAUUACAUAAGAUACAAGUAUGUAAUCAGUAAUUAUAUACAAAUCUGAUAUAUGUGCAACUAUAUAAAGCAGCCUACAACUUUCAAAAUGGAGAACAUACAGCGCGUGCACAAUGGAGAAGCCUUCGAUCGUUUCGAUUUUCGUAUUUGUGCUCUUGUUCCUUCACUGUGGAAUCCCGAUGUUAAUGAGCGCAGAAGCGUCGAUUUUGGAGUGUUUAAAGGAUCAAGACUGUUCAUAUCUUUCUUGCGCAAAUCCAAAAUGCAUAUGCCAAUGCAACAAAGCAAAGCCUGCUAUUGAUGCUGCUGCUAAACAUUCCGUCGAACCAACAGAUAUACCGCCAUGCAGGUUUGCAGUUUGCCGGAUUCCAAGUUGCCAAAAUCCACAUUGUGGUUGUCUGUGUUAGACUGCUAGUACUAAAUCCAAUUACAUAAAUGUGCUACACAUAUUUAUAUGUGCACUUGGUGCUGUCGAACGAAUAAAAUCUGCUUAAAUCCCCCCA